rnacentral:rRNA from 1 species
AAUGAACGCUGGCGGCGCGCCUAAUACAUGCAAGUCGAGCGAGAAGACGUAGCAAUACGUUUGUAAAGCGGCGAACGGGUGAGGAAUACAUGGGUAACCUACCCUCGAGUGGGGAAUAACUAGCCGAAAGGUUAGCUAAUACCGCGUACGCUCCUUGGACUUCGGUUCAGGGAGGAAAGCGAUACCGUGGGUAUCGCGCUCUUGGUUGGGCUCAUGUCCUAUCAGCUUGUUGGUGAGGAACGGCUCACCAAGGCUUCGACGGGUAGCUGGUCUGAGAGGACGGAUCAGCCACACUGGCACUGCGACACGGGCCAGACUCCUACGGGAGGCAGCAGUAAGGAAUAUUGCGCAAUGGGCGAAAGCCUGACGCAGCGACGCCGCGUGGGGGAGUGAAGGUCUUCGG